GCCUACGGGGGGCAGCAGUGAGGAAUAUUGGUCAAUGGCCGAGAGGCUGAACCAGCCAAGUCGCGUGAGGGAUGACGGCCCUACGGGUUGUAAACCUCUUUUGUCGGGGAGCAAAGAGAGUCACGUGUGGCUCAUCGAGAGUACCCGAAGAAAAAGCAUCGGCUAACUCCGUGCCAGCAGCCGCGGUAAUACGUAGGGGGCAAGCGUUAUCCGGAUUUACUGGGUGUAAAGGGAGCGUAGACGGUUAUGUAAGUCUGGAGUGAAAGCCC
rnacentral:rRNA from 1 species